rnacentral:rRNA from 1 species
AACGAACGCUGGCGGCAUGCCUAAAACAUGCAAGUCGAACGGGUGUAGCAAUACACCAGUGGCAGACGGGUGCGUAACACGUGGGAACCUGCCCAGAGGUUCGGAAUAGCUGCGGGAAACUGCAGGUAAUACCGAAUGUUGCCUGAGGGCUAAAGGAGCAAUCCGCCUUCGGAGGGGCCCGCGUCCGAUUAGCUAGUUGGCGAGGUAACGGCUCACCAAGGCGACGAUCGGUAGCUGGUCUGAGAGGAUGACCAGCCACACUGGAACUGAGAUACGGUCCAGACUCCUACGGGAGGCAGCAGUUGGGAAUAUUGGACAAUGGGGGAAACCCUGAUCCAGCAAUGCCGCGUGGGUGAUGAAGGCCUUCGGGUUGUAAAGCCCUUUUGGCGGGGACGAUGAUGACGGUACCCGCAGAAUAAGCCCCGGCUAACUUCGUGCCAGCCGCCGCAGUAAAAC